GACGAACGCUGGCGGCGUGCCUAAUACAUGCAAGUUGAGCGCUGAAGGUUGGUACUUGUACCAACUGGAUGAGCAGCGAACGGGUGAGUAACGCGUGGGGAAUCUGCCUUUGAGCGGGGGACAACAUUUGGAAACGAAUGCUAAUACCGCAUAAUAACUUUAAACACAAGUUUUAAGUUUGAAAUAUGCAAUUGCAUCACUCAAAGAUGAUCCCGCGUUGUAUUAGCUAGUUGGUGAGGUAAAGGCUCACCAAGGCGAUGAUACAUAGCCGACCUGAGAGGGUGAUCGGCAACAUUGGAACUGAGACACGGCCCAAACUCCUACGGGAGGCAGCAGUAGGGAAUCUUCGGCAAUGGACGAAAGUCUGACCGAGCAACGCCGCGUGAGUGAAGAAGGUUUUCGGAUCGUAAAACUCUGUUGGUAGAGAAGAACGUAGGUGAGAGUGGAAAGCUCAUCAAGUGACGGUAACUAACCAGAAAGGGACGGCUAACUACGU
rnacentral:rRNA from 1 species